AUUUUGGUAGCUUAUAUAAAAAGCAAAACACUGAAGCUGUUUAGAUGAAGAUAUUCCCAAAAUA
rnacentral:tRNA from 1 species